AUAGACAUGGAUUCCAGGAAAAAAUAUGUACAAAUUUGUUUUCUGUCAAAUAAAGGGAAGGUAGAAUAGGCUAGAGUUAAACCUGCUACCCUCUCCCAAUUGGUAUAGAACCGCCGUCGCUAAUAUAACCAAUUUGUCAACAAAAGACUGCAAAAUUGCAGAGUUAAGCAACUAAAACAAUCACCAUUAUGAUGGUUAUUUGUAUCAUGUACUCAAAUAUUUUCCAGGCAAAUGACGAAUUACAUGCGAAUUCAGAUUAAAGUUACUCUCCCAUGUUUUCAUUAUCAUGCUGAUCAAGUACAGUGAAAGUGCAAAAUCAAAAGUAGAAACAACACAUUCACAAAUUAACCAUUCUCCUGGUUCUGAUCACAUUAUUACACCAAGGAUCAUAUGGUCAACCCUUAGAUGGGAUGGUUGCCUCAGACUCUAAUGCCUAUCAAGUACAGUAAAAGUGCAAAAUCGAAAGUAGAAACAGCACAUUCACAAAUUAACCACUCUCUUGUUUCUGAUCACAUUAUUA